ensembl:lncRNA
UUUGAUGUGGACCAUUUUUAAAGUUUUUAUUGAAUUUGUUACAAUAUAGCUUCUGCUUUAUGCUUUGUUUUUCUGUUUGUUUUGGCUAUGAGGCAUGUAGGAAUCUUAGCUCCCCAACCCGGGAUCCAACCUGAACCCCCUGCCUUGGAAGACUAAAUCUUAACCACUGGACCUCCAGGGAAGUCCCCAUUGCUUGUUUUAGAAUGAAACCACUUCAGAGCAGGCAGAGAGGAAGAAAGAGAGAACGGGGGAGCAAAGGCCAAAAGGGACAGAAGUGACCAGUUUGAAUCUCUCAGCCCUGCGAGUUUACUACUUAAGCUCCCCAGUGGUUUGAAUCCAUGCAUUUCUUUUUCUAAAUUUAUUUUUUGGCUAUGCUUAGGUCUUCAUUGCUGCACGCGGGCUUUCUCUGGUUGCAGCGAGCAGCGGAUACUCUUCACUGAAGUCUGCGGGCUUCUCAUUGCAGUGGCUUCUCUUGUUGCGGAGCUUGGGUUCUAGAGAACAGGCUCAGUAUUUGUGGUGCAUGGGCUUAGUUCCUCCGCAGCAUGUGCUAUCUUUCAGGACCACCUCUGUCCUCUGCACAGGCCGGUGGAUUCCCAACCACUGGUCCACCUGGGAAGCCCCAUCUUUUUUUAACUUCAUCUAAUUACAAUUGAUUUCUGUCUCUGUUAACUGAAAGAAUCCUGACUAAGGCAAUGUCCUAGCCCCUAAAACUUCAGGAUACUUUUACUAACAAGAGCUGUCUGGGUUUGUUUUAAUCAGAAAUGCUUUCCCUUGCCAGUAUGAUAUGAUUUUAACCUAAUUUUUUUUUUAAUGAAAGUAACUGUCAUCCUCAUUCUCCUUAUGAAUAAAAACCUUAGUGUUCCAGCGGUUAAGAUUCCAUGCUUCCACUUGUAGUAUGCACGGGUUCAAUCCCUGGUCAGGGAAACUGAGAUCUUGCAUGCCACAUGGAGCAGCUGAAAAAAAAAAUCUGAAGGUACUCCUCCUCUUACCAUUAUCUUUGUUCUGCCAAAGUGUGUUGUUUUGAGAUGGUUCCAGUGUCCUCCUUAGGCCCUAAGUCCUCAUCUGCAUUUUCUAAAUAAAGAAGCUUGUUCAUAGAAAAUCUGUCCCCACAACCACUGUUCAGCCUCAUCCUCUCUCACUUUAGCCCCUGCUCACUAACUCACUUUUUCCCCUGCUCAUUAAACUCUAAACACAGUGUUUUUGUUCUCUUUCCUGUCAUAAUCUCAAAAGUGCCAGGCUUUUACCUGGCCCCAGGGCCUUCAUCUGUGCUGUUCCCCCUGCCUGGAAAUCACUUUCUUCAGAGGUCCUCACCUUCAUUCACUUGGUUGACUCUUCUUGCGUCAACUUGAAUAUUACUCAUAAUAUUCCUUCCUCCUACUUCUGAGACAAUCUAUUCUAAGAUCUUACAUCAGCUUUUUUUAUACUCUUUACUUUUCUUUCCUAGCAUUUAUCACAGAGCAUAAAUACACAGUGAGCUCUAUUUCUGUCACCUGUGUCCAAUACCUCUGCCUUUCCUUAGAUGACAAGCCCCAUGAGGACAGUGGCAGGGUCUAUUUCAUUCAAGGUUCUAUUCCCCGAAUUUAGAACAAUGCCUGACCCAUGAUUGGCCCUCCCUAGAUGGCUGGUGAAUGGAUGAUUGCAGCCUAAUGACCAACCAUCAAAACACUGGACAGUUCCAGGAACACAGUCAGAAGAAGGCCUAUUUUCAGGAACAGGGCAUCUCUUCUAAGGCUUGCCAAUGAGACACUGCAUAGAUUAAUGGCCUUUGUACUGACUUCAGCCCAAUAAUAAAAAAGGAAUCAGGAAGGAGGGUUUCCAGGAACAGCCU